rfam:Oryza glaberrima chromosome 12 Oglab12_0022_19, whole genome shotgun sequence.
CCUCCGUCCUAUUCUAAGUGUUCAACGUUUGAUCGUCCAUCUUAUUUGAUUUUUUUUAUGAUUACUAUUUUUAUUGUUAUUAGAUGAUAAAACAUAAAUAGUACUUUAUGCGUGAUUUUUUUUAAUAUUUUCAUUUUUCUUAAAAUAAGAUGGAUGUUUAAAUGUUGGAUAUGGAAACCCACUACU